rnacentral:rRNA from 1 species
UUUCCGGUUGAUCCUGCCAGAGGCUACUGCUAUCGGGGUUCGAUUAAGCCAUGCGAGUUAAAUGUUCUUUGUGAACAUAGCGAACUGCUCAGUAACACGUGGAUAACCUACCCUUAGGACCGGAAUAACCCCGGGAAACUGGGGAUAAUACCGGAUAAGCCAUAGACGCUGGAAUGCCCUAUGGUUCAAAGCUCCGGCGCCUAAGGAUGGAUCUGCGGUCUAUCAGGUUGUAGUGGGUGUAACGUACCUACUAGCCGACGACGGAUACGGGUUGUGAGAGCAAGAGCCCGGAGAUGGAUUCUGAGACACGAAUCCAGGCCCUACGGGGUGCAGCAGGCGCGAACACUUUACAAUGCGGGAAACCGCGAUAAGGGAACCCCGAGUGCCAGCAUCAAAUGUUGGCUGUCCAGAUGAUUAAAAAUCAUUUGUUAGCAAGGGCCGGGCAAGACCGGUGCCAGCCGCCGCGGUAACACCGGCGGCCCGAGUGGUAGCCGUUUUUAUUGGGUCUAAAGGGUCCGUAGCCGGCUUGAUAAGUCCUUUGGGAAAUCUGGCAGCUUAACUGUCAGGCUUCUAAGGGAUACUGUCAGGCUUGGGACCGGAAGAGGUAAGGGGUACUCCAGGGGUAGGAGUGAAAUCUUGUAAUCCCUGGGGGACCAUCUGUGGCGAAGGCGCCUUACCAGAACGGGUCCGACGGUGAGGGACGAAAGCUAGGGGAGCAAACCGGAUUAGAUACCCGGGUAGUCCUAGCUGUAAACGAUGCUCGCUAGGUGUCAGACACGGUGCGACCGUGUUUGGUGCCGCAGGGAAGCCGUGAUCUCGCCACCUGGGAAGUACGGUCGCAAGGCUGAAACUUAAAGGAAUGGCGGGGGAGCACUAAAUCGGAAUUCC